GCGCCAGUGGUUUAGUGGUAAAAUCCAUCGUUGCCAUCACUAUCCGAGUCUCCAUGACUCGGCUACUGUCUCGAUGGGCCCCGCGUUCGAUUCGCGGCUGGCGCA
rnacentral:tRNA from 1 species